AUUGAACGCUGGCGGCAGGCCUAACACAUGCAAGUCGAACGAGUGGCGGACGGGUGAGUAAUGUCUGGGAAACUGCCCGAUGGAGGGGGAUAACUACUGGAAACGGUAGCUAAUACCGCAUACCAUCGGAUGUGCCCAGAUGGGAUUAGCUAGUAGGUGGGGUAAUGGCUCACCUAGGCCACGAUCCCUAGCGGGUCUGAGCGGAGGACCGGCCAAACUGGAACUGAGACACGGUCCAGACGCCUACGGGAGGCAGAAGUGGGGAAUAUUGCACAAUGGGCGCAAGCCUGAUGCAGCCAUGCCGCGGGUAUGAAGAAGGCCUUCGGGUUGGAAAGUACUUUCAGCGAGGAGGCGUUACUCGCAGAAGAAGCACCGGCUAACUCCGUGCCAGCAGCCGCGGUAAUAC
rnacentral:rRNA from 1 species